UUUUUUCUGUUCUGUUUAGAUGGAAAUUUGAGCAGCUGUAUAGAAAAUGCCAUAACUAUUUCUAUACCAAUGAUUUUGAGGUGAUUCUUUCUGCUAUGGUUUCUAUAAAAAUGGAAGUGUAAUUCUGAAAAAUAUGAGAUUUUUAUUAAUUGUACAUAAGUUUUGGUGUAAUUUCUAAGUCAGUACCUACAAGCUGCCUUCAUCAACAAAUAUGUUGAUUUGUUGUCAUUCAUCUCAUGCAUCAU
rnacentral:lncRNA from 1 species